UGAGGGAAUAUUGGGUCAAUGGACGAGAGUCUGAACCAGCCAAGUCGCGUGAAGGAAGACGGAUCUAUGGUUUGUAAACUUCUUUAGUGUGGGAACAAAGCGUGGUUGCGACCGCAGAUGAGUGUACCACAAAAAUAAGCAUCGGCUAACUCCGUGCCAGCAGCCGCGGUAAUACGGAAGGUCCAGGCGUUAUCCGGAUUUAUUGGGUUUAAAGGGAGCGCAGGCGGUCUUAUAAGCGUGACGUGAAAUGCAGCGGCUCAACCGUAUGAUGUGCGUCGCGAACUGUGAGACUUGAGUGUAUUCGAUGUCAGCGGAAUUUGUGGUGUAGCGGUGAAAUGCUUAGAUAUCACGAAGAACUCCGAUUGCGAAGGCAGCUGACAAGGCUACAACUGACGCUAAAGCUCGAAAGUGCG
rnacentral:rRNA from 1 species